UACGAAGGGGGCUAGCGUUGCUCGGAAUUACUGGGCGUAAAGCGCACGUAGGCGGAUUGUUAAGUCGGGGGUGAAAUCCUGGAGCUCAACUCCAGAACUGCCUUCGAUACUGGCGAUCUCGAGUUCGGGAGAGGUGAGUGGAACUGCGAGUGUAGAGGUGAAAUUCGUAGAUAUCAAGCGGAACACCGGUGGCGAAGGCGGCCUUCUGGACGAUGACUGACGCUGAGACGCGAAAGCGUGGGGAGCAAACAGG
rnacentral:rRNA from 1 species